UAAUGAGAUUGGGCGCCCAUUGGAGGAGACUGCACGGGAGGGGAAGAGGAGCAGCCAGUUCUCAGCCAAUAGCCUGCAGGGAUGCCUUGGUUUAGUGAUCCUUUUCAAACUUUGUCCUCUUUUCUUCUUCCUUCCCGGAAAGUCUCAGGCUAAGUUAUUGGGUUGCAUCUACCACUUCACCGAAGCCAAAUUCUCUGCAUCGAAAAUCUGGAAUUUCACCAAUGCCCUCCUGAAAAAUCACUGCGACGGCAACUCCGAGGUCAAUGGAUCUCAGAAUCAUCGAUGGACAAACUGUAACCGACAACCAAGGCAUAGUAAUUAUUUACUUCGGGAACUCAGAGAAAUGUGGAACAGCUAUGAAAGAUAUUAAAUACUGAAUUGGAAAUAAAUCUUUACUGAACCAUGUUUAAACAAGUUUAUAUUUUUUACAAAGUUUAUUUUUAAUGAUAUUAAUUUAUUUUGUAUGAACAUUUAAACAUACAUGUAUGUCCUAAAAUCAUCUAACACAAUAAAUACUUUAAUUACCUGCUGUAUAA